rnacentral:misc_RNA from 1 species
AAGUCGUAACAAGGUUUCCGUAGGUGAACCUGCGGAAGGAUCAUUAACACGUAUCCAACGUUAAACAACCCUGUGAACUUUCAGCCUGCUCUUGUAACCAUGAGGAACAGCAAUCCCGGUAAAUCAUUGCAAACAGUUUUGAUUCGGGACCUCUGUCCAAAAGGAGUUACAAUUGAGCGGUAGAGGCAGUGGCAUGGCUUCCCCAAGCAGUUAGUGAAUGACAGUGUCACUGAUUGUGUAAGGAUAACGCCUCACGGUUGCCAGAGGUCGAUCACCGACCGGCAGACUUAAUCACCCCAAUUUGAAAUUGCUCCUACCUGGUGGUAACGCACUGGGUCAAAAAAACCGAACAACUGUUAACAAUGGAUAUCUUGGUUCUC